ensembl:lncRNA
AGCUGUUGGAAGGCACAUUUAACCUACACACACACGUGUGUGUACACACACACACACACACACCCCCCUGCCCUGUAACUCAGGAUUCCCAGUGAGGGUGGUUCCACCCGUUAAGAGGUGUCUUUGGAAAUUUACGGAGGCAUUUGUUACUAUCACAGUUUGUUAUGAUGACGAAUGUGGGAUGCCAUUAAUAUUUAUUGUCCAAUAAAUGUCGAUGGGGGACGGGUGGGGGGGAUGUCAGAUGCUCUGUAGUGGUCAGGACCAUCCACAUCACAAGUGACUGUCCCUCAUGACUUUCAAAUGUCCCACUUGAUGUUUAUGUCCAUGAAAACCUGUGUAUACUUAGGUGGAUCUAGCAUCCAACCCCAUUUUAUAUAUAAACACACAGGAUUUUUUUUUUUUUUUUUUUUGCAGUUUUAACAUACACUGAAUUUUUCAGGAAUGCAGCAUAGAGUGAAGAUGGUACAUGUUUGUUCAGGACUUUAUGAAGAUUGUUCACCAUUUUGGAAAAUCAUGUUAUGUAUGGCAAUGGUGAUCACAGUGUUUGAGCCAUCCUAAAAACACAUGUGAAUCUAUGUGCAUUUAUAUCUAUUGCAUUCAUGGCGACUCUACACAUAGGUGCAGACAUCUAACUACACACUAGGUUUUCCAGUGUAGUCAUGUACAAGUUUUUUCAGAUACUGAAAUGCUUAUUUUUCUAUAAAAUUGCUUUUCUUUCUUUCUUGAUUAUAACCCAGUGAGUGCAUUACAUUUUUUUUUUUGAUAUUAUGAAUUUUGGGAGAAAAUGUUGUGUGUAGGUAGAUAUAUUAUCUAUGGGUUUCAACUGAGCAUAACAAAAGGAGAGUUACAAGUUAUGUGGUGUUGGUUUGUUUGUUUUCAUUGGUUUGAUUUUUCUGAGACGGAGUCUUAUGUUAUAAGAAGGGACACUGAUGUGGCAGAGAGCCACUAUUUCAACUGAACUAGUGCCUGUGAAGAACACACAUCUGUCUGUUGGGCUGAGCCUGGCCCCAAGGGGCCUGUGGACACUGGAUCCCGAAGGCACUGGAUCCUUGAUUACCUUAUUUUCCACUUUGAGGACACUUCAGAGAUUAAGUCCCCAAGCAACUGACUGAUAAGUCCUACUCCUCAGUGUCACUGGAAUAUUUCUGUGUUCUACCAAGGAAUGGAAGAAUCAAGAGGCUUCACACCUAGCUCCUCCCAGAAGCUUGCAGGCCCUGCCUCCUCCGUGAAGGCCUCCCUGAUCAGCUCCACAUCGAGGAACCUCUUUCUCCACUUCUCUGUUCUGCCCACUUGCUGCACCUUAACUUUUUUUUCAUAAGUUCACUUCUUAUGUUCUCAAAAUGACUGUAAACUCCUUGAGGGAGGAAAUGGAUGUGUUCUGUGUCCUAAGGCAUUCAUUAAGAAUGUCAAAUGGGCCAGGCAUGGCAGCUCACAUCUGUAAUCCCAGCACUUUGGGAGGCCAAGGUGGGUGGAUCACUUGAGGCAAGGAGUUUGAGACUAGCCUGGCCAACAUGGUGAAACACCAUCUCUACUAAAAAUACAAAAAUUAGCUGGGUGUGGUGUGUGCCUCAGGAGGCUGAGGCAGAAGAAUCGCUUGAACCCCAGAGGCAGAGGUUGCAGUGAGCUGAGAUCAUGCCACUGCAUGACAGAGCAAGAUUCUGUCUCAAAGGGAAAAAAAAAGAAAAAAGAAAAAGAAAAAA